UUGAACAUUUAUAUUUGUUAUUAAAAAUAACAUUCAAGACAGUAACAGUUGUACGACCAAUAAUUAUCAUUACACGUGAGAACUGGAGGUCUUCAAAUCCUCUAUCUUUAAAUAAGUUAAGAGGUCAAGUUUGUCCCCUAAAUCCUCUACAAGCAUUAGUACGACACAGCGUUAAGACUUUACCGUCACCGUGGUUACCCAGCAGGCUCGAGUACAGGCAUGGUCAGGGUCACAUGGUCAGGGUCACAUGGGUCACAUGUUCAGGGUCACAUGGUCAGGGUCACAUGGGUCACAUGUUCAGGGUCACAUGGGUCACAUGGUCAGGGUCACAUGGUCAGGGUCACAUGGGUCACAUGGUCAGCGUCACAUGGUCAGGGUCACAUGGGUCACAUGGUCAGGGUCACAUGGUCAGGGUCACAUGGGUCACAUGGUCAGCGUCAGAUGGUCAGGGUCACAUGGGUCACAUGGUCAGGGUCACAUGGUCAGCGUCACAUGGUCAGGGUCACAUGGGUCACAUGGUCAGGGUCACAUGGUCAGGGUCACAUGGUCAGCGUCACAUGGUCAGGGUCACAUGGGUCACAUGGUCAGGGUCACAUGGUCA